rnacentral:rRNA from 2 species
UCGUANCANGGUUUCCGUAGGUGAACCUGCGGAAGGAUCAUUG